rnacentral:piRNA from 1 species
UUCAUGAACUGGGUCUAGCUUGGAGCCUU